rnacentral:rRNA from 1 species
GAUGAACGCUGGCGGCGUGCCUAAUACAUGCAAGUCGAGCGAACAGACGAGGAGCUUGCUCCUCUGACGUUAGCGGCGGACGGGUGAGUAACACGUGGAUAACCUACCUAUAAGACUGGGAUAACUUCGGGAAACCGGAGCUAAUACCGGAUAAUAUAUUGAACCGCAUGGUUCAAUAGUGAAAGACGGUUUUGCUGUCACUUAUAGAUGGAUCCGCGCCGCAUUAGCUAGUUGGUAGGGUAACGGCUUACCAAGGCAACGAUGCGUAGCCGACCGGAGAGGGUGAUAGGCCACACGGGAACUGGGACACGGUCCAGACUCCUGCGGGAGGCAGCAGUAGGGAAUCUUCCGCAAUGGGGGAAAGCCUGACGGAGCAAGCCCGCGUGAGUGAUGAAGGUCUUCGGAGCGUAAAACUCUGUUAUUAGGUAAAAACAAAUGUGUAAGUAACUAUGCACGUCUUGACGGUACCUAAUAAGAAAGCAACGGCUAACUACGUG